rnacentral:rRNA from 1 species
UACGUAGGGUGCGAGCGUUAAUCGGAAUUACUGGGCGUAAAGGGUGCGCAGGCGGCACCGCAAGUCGAGUGUGAAAGCCCCGGGCUUAACUUGGGAAUUGCGCUCGAAACUAUGGUGCUGGAGUGUGGCAGAGGAAGGUGGAAUUCCACGUGUAGCGGUGGAAUGCGCAGAUAUCAGGAGGAACACCGGUGGCGAAGGCGGGUCUCUGGACGGCAACUGACGCUGAGGCACGAAAGCGUGGGGAGCAAACAGG